UACGGGGGGGGCAAGCGUUGUUCGGAAUUACUGGGCGUAAAGGGCUCGUAGGUGGCCAACUAAGUCAGACGUGAAAUCCCUCGGCUUAACCGGGGAACUGCGUCUGAUACUGGAUGGCUUGAGUUUGGGAGAGGGAUGCGGAAUUCCAGGUGUAGCGGUGAAAUGCGUAGAUAUCUGGAGGAACACCGGUGGCGAAGGCGGGUCUCUAGCCAGUUCCUGACGCUGAGGCACGAAAGCCAGGGUAGCAAACGGG
rnacentral:rRNA from 1 species